rnacentral:sRNA from 20 species
GUCAACGACCCACGACUAGAAGUCGGGGGCUUGCAGGAGCAAUUCUGCAAGCUCCAAGUUGACCAGACUCAGUCUUUUUGAAAGGCUACGUUACCGUAGAAAGCUAUACUAAA